GUGACGAGAGCUGUGAGGCGGCGCCGGUGGCGUGAUUGAUAGUUGAAAAACAGCUGUGCGCACACCGGUCCCGCAUAUCUCACAGAGGAAAUCGGGAGCAUAAGAGGACGAGCGACGUGACUGCUGACGAGAGAGGACCGGGCCCGGACAUGUGGUUUUAGUUUAACCUUGUUACAUGGGGAUUCACCCAUAUAAACGAAUGCGGCUGUUACUCCCGAAAGCCUGCAGUGUGAACGUGAUGCCCUAAAGUUACUGGACCAUCAAGACCCCCUAAGUAAAAGAGUGGACAGGCUUCCACGAUGGUAAAAUAAACAACGUGAAAGACAGAGAGGGACACAGAGAAUGAACGAGAGAGCUUGGUUCCACCUAAAAACAUUUUUUGAACUUCCAAGGUGCCCAUCUGCCAUUCAAUUGACCGAUGAGACGCACAGUGACAUGCUUGGCUCCUAAGGCAUAUCCAUCUCGAUUUUGACAGCCUGUCAAUAUGCCUGGAACCAGCUGUCAAUCAAACUGCCACUCGUCCAGACAUUGUAUUGAGGAAGGGCAGAAACUGAUGAGUGAUGGCGCGUGUGUGCGUAUAACUUAAGGCUGUGAUAAUGAGGACUUUGGGAAGUACGAUAACAUUGAAUGGUAUAGACAUGCGACUGACAAUAUUAGGCUAGAUUGAUAACACAAAGUUAGAUAUAUAGUCGUGAUUGGAAGUGCAUAAUAAAAAACUGGCAACAACAGUUUGACUUUGGAUAUUAAAUGGAGUGCAACUCAAACGUCAAUGCAUCAUUUCCCA